rnacentral:rRNA from 1 species
GGAAAAGAAACUACCAAGGAUUCCCCUAGUACGGCGAGUGAAGAGGGAAGAGCCCAAGAUUGAAAGCUGGCGUCUUCGGCGUCCGCAUUGUAAUCUCAAGAAGUGUUUUCCGCUUCGGACCAUGCCUAAGUCCCCUGGAAAGGGGCAUCAUAGAGGGUGAUAAUCCCGUACAUGGCAUGGAGCGCCCGAGGCUUUGUGAUACGCUUUCUAAGAGUCGAGUUGUUUGGGAAUGCAGCUCAAAAUGGGUGGUAAAUGCCAUCUAAGGCUAAAUAUUGGGGAGAGACCGAUAGCGAACAAGUACAGUGAUGGAAAGAUGAAAAGAACUUUGAAAAGAGAGUUAAACAGUACGUGAAAUUGCCAAAAGGGAAGGGUAGGAGGUCAGAGAUGCGUCUUGGAAUUCAGCCUUGCUUUUGCUUGGUGUUUUUUCCAAGUUGCAGGCCAACGUCGGUUUUGGGCACUGGAGAAGGGUGGAAGGAACGUGGCACCUCUCGGGGUGUGUUAUAGCCUUCUACUGGAUACAGCGACCGAGACCGAGGACAGCAGCGUACUCGCAAGAGCGGGCCUUCGGGCACCUUUACGCUUAGGGCGUUGGCAUAAUGGCCCUCUACCACCCGUCUUGGAA